UGGGGAAUAUUGGACAAUGGGCGAAAGCCUGAUCCAGCAAUGCCGCGUGAGUGAUGAAGGCCUUAGGGUUGUAAAGCUCUUUUACCAGGGAUGAUAAUGACAGUACCUGGAGAAUAAGCUCCGGCUAACUCCGUGCCAGCAGCCGCGGUAAUACGGAGGGAGCUAGCGUUGUUCGGAAUUACUGGGCGUAAAGCGCACGUAGGCGGCCAUUCAAGUCAGAGGUGAAAGCCCGGGGCUCAACCCCGGAACUGCCUUUGAAACUAGAUGGCUUGAAUCUUGGAGAGGCGAGUGGAAUUCCGAGUGUAGAGGUGAAAUUCGUAGAUAUUCGGAAGAACACCAGUGGCGAAGGCGACUCGCUGGACAAGUAUUGACGCUGAGGUGCGAAAGCGUGGGGAGCAAAACAGGAUUAGAUACCCUGGUAGUCCACGCCGUAAACGAUGAUAACUAGCUGUCCGGGUUCAUGGAACUUGGGUGGCGCAGCUAACGCAUUAAGUUAUCCGCCUGGGGAGUACGGUCGCAAGAUUAAAACUUAAAGGAAUUGACGGGGUCAUAGCUGUUUCCU
rnacentral:rRNA from 1 species